rnacentral:rRNA from 1 species
GAUGAACGCUGGCGGCGUGCUUAAUACAUGCAAGUCGAGCGAACAGACGAUGAGCUUGCUCCUCUGACGUUAGCGGCGGACGGGUGAGUAACACGUGUAUAACCCACCUAUAAGACUGGUAUAACUUCGGGAAACCGGCUCUUAUACGGGAUAAGAUAUUGAACCACAGGGGUGAAUAGUGAAAUACGGUUUUUCUGGCAGUUAUAGAUGGAUCCGCGCCGCGUUAGCUGGUUGGUAAGGUAACGGGUUACCAAGGCAACGAUGCGUAGACGACGUAGUAGGGUGGUGGGCCACACUGGAGCUGGGACACGGACAAUACUACUGCGGGAGGCAGCAGUAGGGAAUCUUCGGCAAUGGUCGAAAGCCUGACGGAGCAACGCCGCGUGAGUUAUGACGGUCUUCGGAUCGUAAAACUGUGUUAUUAGGGAAAAACAACUGUGUAAGGAACUGUGCCCGGCUUGACGGUAACGAAUAAGAAAGCCACGGCUAACUACGUG